UACCCUUGUUCACUUAUCGGUAAUCCCAAGAGUGAUCCUAUUGGGUCUUGCAGACAUAACCGUAGGAAACCUCCUACCUCUUUAGCCUUCUCCUUUUUCAUUUUUCUUUCUUGUUCUCUUUCUACUUUUUAUUUCUUUUUUUACUAGUUGUUCUGUUUCUCUUUCUCCAUUCUUUCUGAUAAAUUCUAAUUUUCUCAAACAAAUCUUCUACAGAACUGGAUCUCCUCUCAUCUUCCUCUUCUAUAUGUACAUCCCAAAAUCUAUGUAAAUUUCUUAGUCUCCUGUCCCCACUGUGUAACCAAGCUUCCCAUCGUGAAAAGACCAAUCCGAGAGCGCGCCACCGUAUUCUCCAAGUCACGACAACCAAACUCCGCCGCCGAGCUCUUCCGUCGUGCUUUGUAACUCAGGCAGCAUCCAGCUCUGAAUUAUCCACGACCUCCACUGGACUUUGAUUCAACACUCACCGUGUGGUCUCUCGUCCAAGUCACCUCCUCUCCAUGAUCAGCUCACCGUAGUGACCUUGCUCAACGUCGGAAUCAAGCUCGCCGUCAGAUGCUGCAAAGAGAAAGCGUUGUUCUCUCCAAUGGAACGUUCUCUCGAAUUAACUCCUGAAACUUCGCUUUUAGAGAUCAAAGUUUGGUUCACCUGUAACAUAUUCUAGCUUUAAGGUGGAGGGAGCAUUAUAGAAAGAAAGAAACAUCACAUGGAUAAGGAGAUUGAAAGAAGCUCUAGGAAUAUUACGGUGCGGCGGGAUUACAAGCACUAUAUCCGGAUACAUAAGUUUUAUGUCCGGAUUUCACAUAAUUAGACUUGGAAUAAAUCUGGUUAGUAUAUUAUACAUCCGGUUACGCGACCAGAAUUUUCAUAAUUUAUUACUAUUAUAUAUAGUGAACACAACAUAUCACUCA